AUCUUUUCUAACUUGAAAUUUUGGAUCCACCACUGUUUAGGAUCCAAAAUGUUGCAAAUCAAUCCUUAAAGAGUUUGCUUUUAGGACAAAUCGAACAAGUCCUAAAUAUACAACUAUCCAACAGGAUAAGUUGCACCCAGUUUAUGCAUCUUCAUUGGUUUUUGAUGGUAAAACUUACACUGGUGAGGUUGCCAGAAGCAAGAAAGAAGCAGAACAGUUAGUCACACGAAUCGCCAUUGAGUCUCUUCUUGGAUCUGAUUCAGGAAUUCUUCUUCAAAUAAUCAAUUCCAAAAGCAAAGCUCGUGAUGGAAGGAAUUACAUUAAUGACAACAGCAUCAAUGAGAGCAACGCUCAAGGUCUAGGUAAUAUUGGUUUUAGCUAUGUUGGUGAAGUUCUAAAAUGUUGAGUAAUAUAUAUGGUGAACUAAUAAUUUGCUACUGGUUGUAGUUCCGGUAGGACCUUCACAACAUCCGGUUAAUGUUUCGUCUUUUUUUGCCAACUUACAUUCUCUGGGUCCAAGUGCUAAUGCUAAUCGGAAGAACAAGCGGAAACUGCAGGAUGAGAAAUGUAAACAGAAACAAAUGCGAAUUCAUCAGCAGUAGGUUUGUCUUUCUCCAUUUUGAUUAUGUCCUAGUACUUAUCUUGAGUGCAAGGGCAUAAAUUCCAAUGUUAUAUGAACUUGAUUUAAGACAUCUAGACUCCAUAUGAUGACCAGCCAUGAAUAUUCCAUUUUGAUUGAGUAUUUUACCAUAAAAUCCUAGGUUUCUCACUAAUAUUUUUACUAUUUUCUAAUGCUUGGUUGUAGGUUUCUAUAAGAUGCUGUCUUCUCUAGUCUCCAAGUGGUUUCAAAAUCAAAGAUUUUAAUUCACUAAUUGGUGGACCUUUAUGUAAGUUUUUGAAGAAAUAUGUUGUGCAAUUUGCAGCAAGUAGGAAAACUAGGGUUGAUUUGCAUAAACACAGCAAAUAGAAACUUAAGCUAUUUUAUACUUACCUUUUGCCGGGGGCUGUGCAUCUAUAAAAUUUUCCUAUGUAAAUUAACAAUGAAAUGGUAAAUUUACGAUGCAAGCAUGGAAACUACUGAGGCUUAUGAUGGUAAAUCAUAUUGAUUAAAGUUUUCUCUUAGUUUGACCAACCUGGUGUUUGGCUAUAUUAAUCAAUGGUGCUAAUUUUCUAGAAAACAACUUUGCAAUCAUGGAAUUUAAGAAUAUGAAUUGGAAAAACAAAGAAGUUAGAAAGCAAAAAUGUUUGAACAGUGCCCCCCUUGUGUGGGACAUCAAGAACUACUGCUAAGUGAGUCAAAACUUUAUUUCUUUUGAAGAGAGCUGUGCAAUAGAUUCCCUGAAUUGG